rnacentral:rRNA from 1 species
AGAGUUUGAUCCUGGCUCAGAUUGAACGCUGGCGGCAUGCCUUACACAUGCAAGUCGAACGGCAGCACGGGUGCUUGCACCUGGUGGCGAGUGGCGAACGGGUGAGUAAUACAUCGGAACAUGUCCAGUAGUGGGGGAUAGCCCGGCGAAAAGCCGGAUUAUACCGCAUACGAUCUACGGAUGAAAGCGGGGGACCUUCG